rnacentral:snRNA from 1 species
UUAUUAUUGAAAAUUAAA